rnacentral:lncRNA from 1 species
UUUUCGAGAGCUAAGAAAGCAGGCUAUGAAGCCGAAGGCCAGUUCCCCAUUAUUGGGACUUUUGGGAACAAGCAAGGGAUUGAGCUGCGCGAAAGCCUACUUUAGAGAAAGGCUAACGAACAAGCAACGGCUUCUAAAGUAGGGGGCGCACUUGCGCGAAAGCCUACUUUAGAGAAAGGCUAACGACGCGCAUCCGUUUUCUUGCUUUUUCAGUUAAGUAAAGACUGACUACGAGCUAAC